CCCUACAACCCUGAGUACGUGGACGAGUCCGUGCUGUGGACUGAGAGCCGCGACGUCGGCCACGGCUUCCGCUGCGUGCGCAUGGUGAACAACAUCUACCUCAACUUCGACGCCUUCCAUGGCGACAAGGACCAUGGCGGCGUCCACGACGGCACCACCGUCGUCCUCUGGGAAUGGGCCAAGGGCGACAACCAGCGCUGGAAGAUCCUGCCCUGGUGUAAGUGUUUCAUCAAUAAUAUACAAGUUGCCUUCCAGUCCAUUUCGUCAGAGUUGAACAAACAGCACAUCCGUCUUCGGAUGCUCCGAUCCGUUGGCAGUUUAUGUCUUCGGAUGCUCCGAUCUUUACAUUGACUAGUUUUGUACUAUUACGUGUAUGCAGAGAUAUGAAGCCAUCCAAUCGCGGCGUUGAGAAGAUCGACCGGAGAAACUUUACCUUGCUGCCGUCUCCGUCCUCCGCUCCAUGUCGUUGAUCGAGUCGUUCUAGUUAUUAUCUUUCUGUUUUCGCGUCGGUUCCUGAAUGAACAGUAAUAAUAUAGGAGUACUAGUUGUUGUCCAUCAGCGUGCGACCAUGUCUGAAUCUGAUCGUAUCUUGCUGGUUGCGCGCUGCUGCUACUUCUCUGUUUGGUGUUCUGAAAGACUUUCGAGUAUGUUGAUGCUGAGUUUCAUUCAGACUUUGAGUGAUUCUGAGUUUCUGAUGAGGAAUCGAUCUACCGAGCUGCAUUGCUGCAUUUUGAUAUUUCGCGCGUGCAAUGAACCGUGCCAGCUCCUCCUCUCCCCUGCUAGUCCCUACAACAGCAAACCACCACUAGUACUUACUUGUUUUUUCUGCCCAUGACAACUACGUCGACGACUGCUAACGGACUAAACGAUGCUGUUGGUACUUAUUGGUACAGACAGUACAUGUUAGUCAGUUUCCAUGCCACGCGUACGUCGCUGUAUUGUUCGGACAUACGGAGUACAGCCAAUUCUUAACGCCGAAGCCUACCAAGCACGUCUUCGCAGGUGGAACUAACAAAGCAGAUGCAUUAUAAUCUCCAGGCAAACAAGAAAGAAAAGCAUGGUAGAACAUAACAAGAGUCGGUGAACGAUACACGCUGAAAAACAUUUUGUGCGUGCUGUCAAAUGAACUGAAAGCACCUGAAUUUUGCCGCCUUUCUAAAAAAAAUGAACUGGACGACGGUUUACAUUUGGAUAUCGACAGGAGAGCAGAUGAGAUCAUGAGGCUGUGUUUUCCUUUUCCCAGGUCAGCAGAGUUGUUGGUGCUAUUCAGAUGCCAGUCAAAACAGCCUUUAAUUCACCUAAUCUAAUCACACCAGCUGGAAAACCAAGUCUAACAUUACUAGCUGUACUAGGCCGGUGGUGUCGUUCAUUCACGUCUCGUUUACAGGUUAGGCACCAAGAGUUCUAAGGCCUGUUUAGAUCCUAAAUUUUUAUAUCCCAAAAUUUUUGAUUGUAAAUUUUACAUUCAAAUAGUAGGCCUUGUUUAGAUGCGAUUUUUUUUUGGAUUUUGCAACUGUAGCACUUUCGUUUGUUUGUAGCAAAUAUUGUCCAAUUAUAAACUAACUAGGAUCAAAAUAUUCGUCUCGCGAUUUACAAGCAAACUGUGUAAUUAGUUUUUAUUUUCGUCUAUAUUUAAUGCUUCAUGCAUGUGCCGUAAGAUUCGAUGUGACGGGAAAUCUUGAAAACUUUUUGGUUUUGGGAUGAACUAAACAAGGCCACCUAAGUAUUUUGUUGAUGUGACAAUGUAGUUAUUGAAGAGAGAGAGUAAAAAUCAUAGAAACUGGUCUAAGAUAGAAACCAUGUCUACACAAAAUCCAAGACAUGAAGUGAUAUGAUUGGCUAAGAAUGGAAAGAGAAUGAAUAUGAUUGGUUAUAAAAAUAUUCUAUAGAAAAUAUCCAUUCGGACCAUAGUUUCUAUAUAUAGUGUCUAUAAAAAUUAAUGAAUGAGUAUAGAAACUAUAUGUAGUUUCUAGUAUUGAGAGUGCCCUACACCCAAAAAACCCAAAACUUUUCAAAAUUCCCCGUCACAUCGAAUCUUGCGGCACAUGUAUGAAACAUUAAAUAUAGAUGAAAACAAAAACUAAUUACACAGUUUGUCUGUAAAUCACAAGACGAAUAUGUUAAGCCUAGUUACACUAUAAUUGAACAAUGUUUGUCAAAUAAAAACGAAAGUGCUACGGUAUCAAAAUCCAAAAAGUUUUUGAAUCUAAACAAGACUAGUACACAAGUUCGGAACUGUUAAUAUAUUGCAAUAUGGUGCAUUGUAAAAGUUCUCGUCAUUCUUCAAACUUCAAAGUACAACACACAUUGAUGUCAACUUUCACCCCAGGUCAUGGACGCUCCAUAGAAGGAAAAUUUCAACAGGGAUUGAACCCUUCAUUCGACCUGGAACACAUGAAGCUAUUCCAGUACAAAAUUUUAUCCUCCAAAUCUUUUAUCCUGAGGGUAAAGCCUAUUCUAUCACGAAGAUACAACAAGACCCUAAUAAAGAGAUAGGCACACAUUUCCCUUUAAAGAUGAGCAACGCGCCGGGCCGGCCCAGCACGAGCCUAUGCUAGGCACGUCCCAAUAGGGCACGGACCCGUAUGGCCCGUGUGCCACUGGGUCGUGCCUUCAUAGGCCACCGUGUCUGCCUGACGGCCUAGACACGACACGUGGGCUAAUUUUCAGGUUGGGCUAGCCCGAAAAGCACGAGACCCAAUAGCCCUUCGGGCCGACCCAUAGCCCGCUAUAUGAAAAACACCAAAUUUAAUACAGAAUUUAACAAAGCAUAAAUAAAUCACAUUCAAGUCAUAGACAUUGAUACUUCACAAUUCACAUAACACAAUAUACUCACAGAUCAUAUUUGACAUGGCAAAAGUCACAAGUUUCACAAGUCAUAGAACUUGAUAUUAAGUUUCAUAAGUUUCUGAUAUCGAGCCGACACCGUGUCUGCUGUUAAAAGUGGGUCGGGCCUUGCUGCCCGGCUGGCCGAGGGUCGGCCCAAGCAUGGCCCGCUACGUGAUUCGGGCCGGCACAGGCACGGUUGGAGCAAGCUCUUCCAGCAUAGAGCAAGCGUUGUGAUCCAAGCAUUGACAGGGAGAUCGAGGUCAUUUGGCAGCGCAUGCCAAUGUCUAGCCAAGCAAAAAACUACCUGAUCUGCACACCACCGUCACCGUCCAAAUGAACCCUGCCAAGCAUUGCGAACAGAUUGGAGCAAGCUCUUUUCUUGCAUCAACAGAGUUGUUGGUCCAUGCACCCAUUGGAUUGGUAACAAAAGGCUAGCCUUCACCUAAUCACACGGCGACAGUCGGGUUUACCAUGCAUUAUUACACCUCCUCGUGACGUGUCGUACGACCUUUCCCAACGCGUUCUAGAGUCCAGACCUCUCAUUUAGUAGUACAAGACAACAAAUUCCACCUACUCCCACUUAUAGAAACUAGCUGGAACAGUAAUGACAGAACAAGCUGAAAGGACUCUGUGGACAACCACUGCAGCCUCCUCAGCCCUGUGGACAACGAGACGAAAGAAACUGCUUGCACCAACCAACGUUAAUGUUCUAGUUGGACUGCAGUGGUUGUACGCAGUACAAACAAACUACUGUAGUAGUAGUAGUAGUAUGCACAAGGGUGACAGCAAAACUUUAGACAUGCCAAACGGUUCAGAGAUGGCGACGACCCUGAUGCAGAUGAUCGGCGGGAACAUUCUUAUCAGGAUGUGCUCAUCGGAAUCGAUCCACUGAAUGGAGAGAAAUGCAGUAGCAGCAGCUUUCCAAUGCAUGAUGAUGAGUGGAAUGUUCUCUUUUUUUUUUUACUAAAUAACUAGAAAAAACGGCUAUUUCUGAAUCCUAUGCACCGGAAAUGCAGUGAAUGAUCAGGUGUGGAUAAUACAAUUCAGUGCAACUUCACUUGCCGGUUGCUGUCCCUUUCAACAUGGGGAAUCACUACUGUACCACUAAGCACUGCGCUUAGAAGCUGCACAACGUUUCCUAGCAAGCAUCGGAGUAGCAUAUCUACGUUAAGCCUGGCACGUAGAUCAAUACAGUGGACACAGGGGGGGGGGGGGGGGGGGCACAAAGUGACCACGAUUCACAAAGUAAAGCCGUGGUGUUUCUAGUGUACCAGAAAGUGCAGAAGAUUACAAGCCCGGCCAUCACUCAUCUCAGCAGGACAGGACAGGAAUCCCAGCGGCCAGCGUUGUUAAUUUGCGCGGGAAUAAUGCAGGGCAGGCAGCGUCGCGUCGAGCUCACGCGUCUGUGUACGCCCACUGAUCUGGUGGGUGAAUGAAUGUGAAACGAGAACAUCUUCGUUCGAGAAAUUCUGCAGAGACAACAGACAAGAAUCAAAUUUCCUCACAUGGAAAAGACGCAUAAUGCACUGCAUAUAAGGAAAUUUGUCAUUCGUGUCGGCAAAAGGAAAUUCUACAGGUUAGGACCGGUCCGGUGACUCAGCAUGCAUGGUCUCUGGUUCUCUGAAAACAAGGAAAGAAACUUCUGAAUUUUCAGUGCAAAACUUCUGAAUUUCUUCAGUCGAGACCGAUUGACAAAUGACAAGCAACAGUAAUCUCCUCUCCUAGAUACUGAAACUAGAAUUCAGUAACCCUUCACAAGUUCACAUUUGGUUGGAGUAUCCACCAUCGAGUACACAGCUAAUAAUGCAGAAAGACGUUGGGGGGUAAUGACACCAUGCAUCAUGAAUUGUGUGCUCCACCACUAAUCAUUCACACUAGAGGCAUGAGCCUCCAUCUCACUGGACCAAAUCUGCUGCCAGUACACUCAUACCCAGAUAUCAAACGGCUAUAUACCAUUAUCAAAACCUGCCAAAGUUUGUUUUCUUCACCACCAGAUCAUACUUACGGUAGGUAAACAACUCACGAGGGGGGGAACCAACGCAGAGAACCAACUGGGCCCACUCUUCAGUGAGAAAGGGAAGCCAGGCAGGCAUUUACUACUGGUUGCCAAAUUACAGCAUCAGGAGAUGAGCGAAGCGGAGCAACAGUACACCGGGUGAGUCAUCUCCUGGUCAUCCAGCGAGACGUUGGGGUGGUGGACCUUCCGGGGGUGGCCGGUGUGGGUGCCGCUCGCUAGCCUUUUGUUGUCCUAUAAAACGCGGCGGCCGGGCAGCGCCUCUCCUCGCACCACCGUCACUCACACAGCACCGGUACCGGAGAGAGAGGAGAGGAGAGGAGAGGAGAGGAUGUCGUGGUUCGGGCACCACCACCACAACCAGCCGGCUCCCCCGGCGUCGGGGCCGAACCAGGUGUUCAAGAUCUUCUGCCGCGCCAACGAGAACUACUGCCUGGCCGUCCGCGACGGCGCCGUGGUGCUGGCCCCGACCAACCCCAAGGACGAGCACCAGCACUGGUACAAGGACAUGCGCUUCAGCACCCGGGUCAAGGACGAGGAAGGGAUGCCGGCGUUCGCGCUCGUCAACAAGGCCACGGGGCUCGCCAUCAAGCACUCCCUCGGCCAGUCCCACCCGGUGAGUGCUCUAGGCUCUAGAUGUGUGCUGCGUUCGUCAACGAUCCAUGGCUUGUUGGCUGAUGAAUCGAUCCAUCCAUUCCAUGGCUGUGCUGCAUGUGCAGGUGAAGCUCGCGCCUUUCAACCCUGACCAGGAGGACGCGUCGGUGCUGUGGACGGAGAGCAAGGACGUGGGCAAGGGCUUCCGCUGCAUCCGCAUGGUCAACAACACCCGCCUCAACUUCGACGCCUUCCACGGCGACAAGGACCACGGUGGCGUGCACGACGGCACCGGCGUCGUGCUCUGGGAGUGGUGCAAGGGCGAGAACCAGAGCUGGAAGAUCCUGCCGUGGGGACCCGAGGCGAACGCCGCGGCGGGGGCCAACGGCGGCGUGCACACCGUGCGCGUCUUCUGCAAGGCCGGCGGCGAGGACUACUGCCUGACGGUGCGCAACGGGACGGCGUGCCUUGCGCCCACCAACCCGCGGGACGAGUACCAGCACUGGAUCAAGGACAUGCGGCACAGCACCCGGGUGCGGGACGAGGAAGGGUACCCGGCCUUCGCGCUGGUGAACAAGGUCACCGGGGAGGCGCUCAAGCACUCCACGGGGCAGGGCCACCCCGUGAAGCUGGUGCCCUACAACCCGGAGUACCAGGACGAGUCGGUGCUCUGGACCGAGAGCCGCGACGUCGGCAACGGAUUCCGCUGCGUCCGCAUGGUCAACAACAUCUACCUCAACUUCGACGCCUUCCAUGGCGACAAGGCACACGGCGGCGUCCACGACGGCACCGAGAUCGUGCUCUGGAAGUGGUGCGAGGGCGACAACCAGCGCUGGAAGAUCCUCCCAUGGUGUAAGUGUACAUGUCUUCCUCUUCCACAGUUCCACCUAGUACUCUGUACAACCACCAUUGAUGGCCUGCCCUUACAUCCUUUGAAAUUGUUGUUGUUGCUUGCGUUUGCAGAGACCAAGGAUCUUCCAAAGGAGCUACUAGCUGCUACUCCUACCUAAUAAUAAUUCUGCUGGCUGCGGCGAUCCCCAAAUAAAAGAGACCGGGUGCGAUAGCGAUGCAUCGCGGACUUCCGAGUGGAGUGGUGUUUUCGUCAGACUGUCAGUCACUGUAUCUGUAUGGCUAGUGUUCCAACAUUUGUCAGCCCGUUUUCGAGCAAGGGGAGUGACAGAGUCAGGAGAAGGGCCGGGCCAUAAGCUGCUGCAUGUCUUAUGUCUGUACUCUGAAUGAACUCUGUAUGAGAUGAGAUCUCAUCUCCUUUCUCCUACCGAAUGAAUGAACCAUUUGGCUUUGCUUUGCUUCACCUGCAUUCCGUUUUACUGUUGUGUGAUCUGGACAAAACUGCUCCAGGGAGGCCCAGAUACCCACUCUCUCUUUUACCCCCCAAUCCGGCCUGCUGGCACCAGGAUAGCACCAAGAGAGAUGUUCACCAUUAGUACAAAGAAAAACGGUCAAGUCUUGUGCUGUUUACAAUUCUUGAAAUUAGUCGAUUUAGAUUUCACAAGUUUUAGAUUACCCCCCAAAAAAAAGACAUGGACUACAAAGAUAUGCUACUCCGUUUUUCUGGCAUGGUAUAUUAGUGUAUAGUCUAGUCUUUCGUUCUUUUCGUUUCUGGGUAUAUUUCAUUGAGCAAGAAAAAUUAAGUAGCGUUGGUACUCAGGCCUAGUUUACUUGACUUUUGAAGUUGUCUAGCUUCCAUGUGCCGCCAUCAGAAGUCUAAAGGACAAUGACAAGCACAUAUGGGCCAUAUGAUUCAGGAGGUUCAACCACCAAGAUUUAACUAUGUAAUAUAAUAAAUAUUGAUAUUUUUUAUGUAAAUUUAGUUAAACUCAUAUCUAUCUCUACUAUAAUGGAUCACUCAAAAUUAUACUAGGUCACCCAGAAAAUGUCCUCCGCUUAGAGCCUCUAACCAUUGUAUACCCAGAAAAACACAUACAAGAAUUUAUCUCCAUUAAAAUUAAGAGCUAAUAAAACAUUAAAAUCUAUCCAAGGACCAAGCUUUGACGUGUGAUGCAAGGAUUAUCACCCCUAUGCCCUUGAUCUCACGCCUUGCUACCAGGGACCGUGCUUCAAGACUCAUCCAACCAUGAUCUAAGCUUGUAAUCAUCACCGAAUAAAAAACACCAUUUGAAACCUGCGGACCGCUGUCGUGCCGAUCAAGUAAACCCUACUACCUGAUGAUGUGUCGAUUUACCCGAUCCAUCUCAAAUCAACAAUUACCUAAUUACCGGAGAUGGAGAUGGAGAUGGAUCGGAUAAUUGACGUGCAAAUGUACAUAGGUUAGCUAGUUACCUAUCUAGAUCUAGGUUUUGCUCGUCGUCAUUUGUUGUCGGUGGAGCUGGGUUUUGCUAGGGGGAUGUCAAUCCUCGUCAGCUUGCUUCCUAGCGGCAUCGACGAGGCGGAGGCGACGACGGCGUAGGGGAAUAAGCUCUUUCGGCCUCUUCCUCACCCUAGUGAUGCUCAGCUCCAGCAUCAACAGAGAGGUCACAAAGACCUGCUUAGGAGUCUUCACAUGGCGGCGCAUCGUCUUGAAGUGCGUCUUCUGGCAUCUUGGUUCGACGAUAAAGAGGCAGCGUUUUGGGUUAUGCAGAUGGUUGGAGAGUGGACAAGGCUCGAGCUUUCCGUGGCGGCUUCUGUCGUUGAUAGCGAGUCCGUGUCCAUGGCCAAGGGAGCUCGGGGUGCGCCCCUGCCCGAUGCUAUUUUAGUGUUUGCUUCAUCUCGCUCUUUGAUGUGAGUGUAUACUGCGGCUACUUCCAAAGCUUUGCGGCGAUGGGGCUUCUUCCGACCUGGGGUUCGUGUCUAAGGACCUCCGGCUACGGCCGGCGGCAACAAAGUCUGGAGGAUUUGACCGACAGAGGAUUUAGAGCUUUAUUUGUAUUGUUUUAUUCCUUAGGGACCUCUUUGGGCGGCAACGAAGUCGGGAGGAUUUGACCGACAGAGGAUUUAGAGCUUUAUUUGUAUUGUUUUAUUCCUUAGAGAUCUCUUUGUAAAAUGGUCGGUGCAGCUGUCUUCUAUAUCCUUCUCGAAUGUACCUGUAUGUGUACGUGUCUAUGAACGGUAUCCUUAACUCUGUUAAUACAGGUAUAUUUGAUAAAAAAAAGAUCAGUGUAAAACAUUUUGUCCUAGUUUAGUUUAGUAUUUGGCUGAUGCUAUCUUUCAGUAAAUCUUCAAGAGUUGACAUUAGGGAAAUUGUUGGACAGACCAUCACCUUGCCUAGAUGAAGCAAUUGCAAUUUCUAAGGUAAGAAUACAUGUGCAUAGAGAGCGGUAUCCCUGCUUCCAUUCUUCUGAAUUUUUAUUGUAGUUUGUCACCUCUAUUUUGCGUGUCACUCAGGUUAUGCAAUUUCUUGAAGCACAAGAAUACAACAUGUUUAGCCACAUUGUAUUUGACACUGCACCUCUCUCUUAAUUGAUGGUGACUCCAUGCUCAUCUGAAACUCGAGGAGCUUUAUGAGAAAUUCUACUUAGCCUUUCUUUUAGUCACAAAACAAAAGUAUCAAAAUAUACCUGGUUGUAGCUUCCUAAUCCUUCUGAAGAGUUCGCUUUUCUUAUUUAUUUUUUGAGUUUCUUAUUUCUUAUGUCCAUUAAUAUCUUUGCACACACAACAAUGCAUGGUCUUAUUUAGCAUGGAGAUAUUGAGGUAAUAAGGGCUAUCGUUAUUAUUUUAAUCAAUUUUGAGAGAAUUAAUAUAUACAAUGAUUAUAAUAUGUUGAUGAACUUUAAGAUCUUUCUUGGCUCGUCUUUUUUUCCUAAGCGAGAAAUGACCGAUCUCCACGAGACAGUGAAUAUGUGUUUUUUUUGUCAGUUGAUUUUUUUAAGUUUUAUAAUUAAUUUUACUUUUUUGAUUUAUUUUUUUUAGAUGCCAUCAUAGCAUUAGUUUGGAUAAUCUCCUACAACUAAAAAGAACAAAAGUAAGACCACCUGCGACUUUUUUUGAGUCGCUCCCCCCUCCCCUAGGUGUGCGAUCCUUCUACCCGUGCUAGGAGGUGGAAGGGUCAAAAUUGAAAAAGAAUAAUCGCACGCUCUAAAGGAAAGAAUCGCACGCUCCCUGGAACGUCUCCCUCGCCGUCAACCAUCCUGGGACGUCUCCCUCGCCCGACCUCACCCUCGACCAUCCUCGCCGUCCUAGGACCUUGCCCUCGCCCGACGUCGAGUCGCCCUCGCCAUCGCCCUCGCCCCCGCCGCCCUCGCCCUCGCCGACGCUGUCACCCUCGCCCGACGGCCGACCUGCGUUGCCAGGACUGGAGAGUCACCCUCGCCCUCGCCCCCGACACCGUCCCCCUCGCCCUCGACGCCCGACGCCAGACGCCCGCGUUGCCUGGUCUGGAGAGUCGCCCUCGCCCCCGACGCCGCAGCCCGACGCCCUCGCCGACCUGCGCCUCGCCCUCGCACGACCUGCGUUGCCAGGUCGCCCUCGCCCGACGCCAUCGCCCGACGCCCGAGCCCGACCUGCGUUGCCCACCUCAGCCCUGCGACCGUCCUUGAAGCCGUCAAUCCUGCGUUUUGCCAGGUCCUGGAGUCGCCCUCGCCCUUGCGUUUCCUGGCCAAUCCACAACCCUAAAACAAGGUGAGUUAGACAACUGAAAUUAUGUUGAUUGGAGUUACACAUUCUUGAAGCACAUACAAAACUGUAUAUUUUGGACUGACAAUUAUAUCUCAUUAAUAUGCCAUGUAUGUGACGCAAAAUAUAAGUACUAUGCAUUUAUAUUAUACACAUCAUUUUGUUUCAAAAGUAACAAAUAUACCCUGUAAAAUUUUAGACUGGGGGUGCAGCUAUUGGAAAUAAAAAUUUUAAAUCAGCUCUUUAUUUGACAGCUUGCAGGCAGAGAAAAAUAUGAUGUAAUAAUGGUUGGUAGGCAAGGGAAUAAAUUGUCAGUUAUACAAAAACUUUUAAAAUAAUGCUCAGUUGUUUUGUUUUCAGAUCAGUACAUAGUUUUGUUCCCUAUAAAUUAGCGGCCAAAAGAGACAUGCUAAUUCCUGUAAUUUAUGGUUUUUUUCUUUGAUUCUUCAUUUCACAUGCUGCCACCUAGCAGUCACAAUCUUAACUUAACGAACAUUCUAUUUCAUUUAAUUGUAGGAUUUUUUUUUCUGCAGCAUUAGACUUUUUGUGCAGCAGGUAGAGUCAUUUAUUUUAUGAUGUUUGUAUGUUCACUUUAACUGUAGUCACCCUAGCCAGAAAUCCAAGCUACACCACUAUUAGAUUUAUUGUAUUGGUUUUUUUCUGUUCCCAAAAGUAUAUUUCCUCACUAUGUUCAAGUGUUCUGUUAACAGCAUGACUAAAAUGCGGGAGUUGGAGAGAAAUUGACAGUACUUAUUACAACUCAAAAAUUAUAGGAUAUAUGCAAGUGAGACAGUUGUAGCUUACAACUAUUCUGUAGAUCUCCAGUGACAAUAAGCAUGCAACAUUCUUCUUUUGUUGGCCUGAAAAAAUUAGAAAAAAUACUCAAACAUAUUGUUUAAUAUCAAGGGAUAGUCCGUCAUCGUAUUCACUUUACUGUAACUUGAACAAAUUUGUAAAAAAAAAAAGAAAGAUAUGCCAGAAAGUAGAAGAAUUAUCGUACCGGCACUCUAAGAGGGAAGAAAAACCAGUACCAGUGUACCACACUUGCAGAGCUAUGGCGGCAUCUUCCCAUGCAGAAAUCGAAAACAUUUGUGUAUGUUCCUGGAGAAAAUUAACGGUAAACUUCACUUGCCAUAUUCCAAAUUCACCAAUUAGCAAUUAAUAACUUCAAGCAUCUUACCAGCAGUAACUGGCUUAGCUUCCUUGAGCUUCAGCACAUCUUCUUUCUUGAUCUAUCAAAAAGGCAGAGUAAAAUGUUCGUGAAACAAUUCGUUUUUUACCUUCCAGACCUGGUACUACUUAUUAGGAUUUACCUUAGAAGGAUUCAAACAGCAAGAAACACAAUACUCAUAUGAAUUGCAGCACUGUAAAUCGAGUUUGCAGCCCCUGGAUUAUGUUACGGAGACUUAUGUCAGGCUUUGCAGGGUAACCAGUUUUGAUGGAGUGCUGCAUAUAAUAUGGUAAAAUGAAAACAGGAAACUCACGGCAGGAAAAUCGGUCCAGUGUUGGGCAGCAGUGAGACCAUGGAUUGAUUGAAAGUGCAGAACAUACUUAACCUGCAAAGGGAAGUGUAUUAUCAGUGAGAGAUUGUUGUCAGAUAGAUGCCGCCCCUGAACAGUGCUUCUGCACACAAUUGGUUCAAUAAAGCCAAUGUCCUUCCUACACAAUAUUUGAAGUUCUUUCCUUAGCUUUACUGAGAUAUAAACUGUAAAAUUGCUCUCAUAUUCAGAAUGACAAGAAUAUCCCAAUUGCCAAUACUAGACUGAAGCAAUACGCUGAUACCCAUGCUUUGUCCAGAUCCUAGAAACAAGGUUAAAGCACAGUUUGAUUCAAUAUUCCAGAACUGUGAACCUGUAGCUAGCUAACUGCUGUCCACCUUAAGAGGACAAAUAUAUAGUGACCCAUACUUUAGUAUUGCAGCUAAAUCUCAAUAUUUGGGGAUCUUGAAAUGUAAUUAGGAAGAGCUUCUACUCUUGAAAAAAAUAGUGGAGUGCACAUGGAGGAAGAACCAAAGUGCCAAGGUUGCCAAGAUCAAGCUGGCACCUUUGGAUUAAUUAGGAGGUAGGAGGGCAGCGACCCUUGAAACCAUGGCACAAAUCACCAAAGUACAAAAUGAAUUAACCAAAUCAGCAAGAGCGUAGUUAACCAACUACUGUUUAAUUUGAUGCAUUCCGAAAGAGCGAUUAUUUAGGAACAAAGGUCAUAUAUAACAUUAAAAAUUAUGAAAAGUGUAAUCAGGUACAAAAUGGAGAAACCAUUACUUGGAAUGAAUACUAAAGAGGCAUGUACUGUAAAGAUAUAUGAGAGACCUUACAUUUUGUUAACUGAUACUGUCUUCAUGGAAUCGAUAAGUGAUAUGUAUUAUAGAGAAAAAAUCCAAUAUAGAAACAUAAGAUUCCAUGAGCCAAAUAUUUUCCAUGCAUAAACAAUGAAGAAAUUAAAGAAGAAGCUAAUUUCACAAUGGCUUUCCGCAUAGCUUAACGAUCAGAAACCCAUACACUUUGUACUCAACAAACUUAUCCUAAAAAGUACUAGAAUAAUACUACGACAUUGCAGGCACUAACUAAUGAGGUAAUGUGCUCCUCUGUACUACUGAAAAUCAGAAUAGCAUCAUCAUUAUCAUCGCUGAAAUAUCUAGCAUGAGCUCAAGCUGCUUUUUGUCUAAGCUUCUUAUUAUCUCUGCAUGUUAGAAUUAAGCUGCUGGUUACUAACCAAAAAAUAUAAAAAUAUACACGCAAAUUAUUUUGGGUCCUAAGAAGAAGCUACAUAUCCACCACACAAACAAAAUUCAAGAGUUUUAUAGGAUUUAAAUACCAGUAAGGAAGGCAUGUCACCUUGUAGGGCUUAUCCCCAAAGAAAUGGAUUUCUUAAAAUUCCUCAAGAUAUCUGUAAGUUUUGUUCCAACCUUGGGAAAAUAACUGAAUUUUUUGCGUGGUAGUAGUAAAUACCAUGAUUCCAAUUAUUUCAAGAAAAUACAGACAUGUACCACAAAACUUACAGAUAUGGCAAAGUUACAGAUAUUACAGAUAUUACCAUGGAGGCUUUGACCCUAGAAACGAUGAACACAGUAUGGAGGCUUUGACCCUAGAAACGAUGAAUGUAGUAUGGCAAAUACCAUCACUGACAAUUACUACUCAAUCAAGGUGAAAAGAAUCCGGUGACACAAACAACUUUUUCCAAAGCACCAAACGAAUAACAAACACAUAAUAGAGAUUCAGAGUUCGGGGGGAAGGGGGAACCAAAAUACCUGCUUGAGAGAGAUGGGGAAGGUGAAUCUCCCACGACGUCCCUGCUUACCGGAGCGUUGGAGCGGGCUUGGGGAUAUACAGCGCAGCAGCGGAUGCCGGUGUGAGCAACGAGGAGGAGGAUGGAAAGCAGGAGACCUUGGAGCAGUGGUGGAUCUGCUCCUGCACAAGCAAAUGGAGCUCCGGCUCGCGAGCUCAAGCAGCAGAAGCGGAGGAGUUGCUGGCAGGGGGCGACCUCGAUCUGUGCUGAUGGGUGAUGCGACCCGUGUUCAAGCUCGAGAUGCGCUGGAAGGGCCAUGGCCGGGUCGGAGGAGAGGGAGCGGCCGCGGCAAGCUUCGCAGUAGACUCAAGCAGCGGCGGAGGGACGGCAGCGGAUUGAGAGUGUCCGUGCGUUUCGGAGACAGAGAGAGGAGUGGGGAUGGGGAAUAGAGACCGUCGUGGAUUAGUAUAUUUUAGUAAUUUGAUUUUAUUUAUUUAAUUAAUAAUUAAAAAGUAUACAAUAUGGCCCUGUGUAGUUUUUUUUUGAUGUUUGUGUUUACUUCCAAAAAAAAAUUUUGGACAUUUGAGGUCAUGAAAGAAAUGCCAAUAAGUAAGAAAGAUAUGAGUGAGUUACUAUGUGAUUACGUAAUGGUAAUUCAGGAUGAAGCAAUGUUGAAGUAAGCUACAUGCUUAUUUUAAUUACUUUAUUUUCUAAUAAUAGUGUGCCCUCUUAUAUGACAGAAAUAAUCAUCAAUCUCUAAUGCUUUUGAAGGAAGCCUUGGGUCAAAGGUUUUCAUCUCUCUAUGAUUGCUCUAAGUGUCUAGGAUCUACAAGAAUUGUUAAUGAGUAAUCGAGACAUCUCUGAGAACUGUUUCAAAUUAGAUGUUCGUUUUCAAGCAGCUCGAGAAUACAAUAUAAUGAAAAAAUAUAAUAAUAAUAAUACGAAGCAUCACAUAGAUCUGAGAUUUUGCGUAAGUACAAUUUUGCAUAAAGUCUAACUUCAACACAAGACAAGUUAGAUGCUAUAUUAUAUAUUUUUUUGCAAGUCAUACUAAUACUGACUCUCGAUAUCCUUCGCUUUCAGAGAAUGUGUGCUUUAACAAAGAUGCCAGAAUAUCGUAAAAAAUACACUACGAGAGAAAUGGCUGUUGUGAUUGGUAUAUGUGAGGAUAUGGAGUACAGAUUGAUUGUUUCCUAUAGACUAUUCUAAUCGUUACCGUGUUUGCAGUUUCUUUUGCCAUGGCUAUCUUUUCGAAAAUAUAUGCUUUAUGUUUUCGAUCAGCGGGAAAAAAUGUUUAUCAUGAUUGACUCUAGACCUGUGGAAGAGUGGUGUAAAGACACACCAGCGCUUAUGUAUGCCAAAUACACUCUUGGAUUUAGCUACAACUACACGGCCGCAGUAAAUAAACAUAUUCCUGGAUGGGUUGAGGAUGUUUUCAAAUGAAAAUUUAAACGGGCAGAAAACAUUGCAGAGGACAUAUAUGGGUAACUAACUCAAAAUCACCGUCGCUUACAAUAACAAAUACAUAUGGUUUAACUAUUUCUAUAUAUUGCUGAUCGUGAAUCUUGAUACAAGUACUUAAGUGGAUUUCUCAUCCUACGUAUAUGUCUACAUGGAAUAGGCCACAAGCCACACAUAUUUAUACCGUGAGUAUAACACUUUGUCUAAGUUUUUGUGAAAGUUUUUUCACAAAAACGUAGUAUUAUCCAUGCGACACACUAAAAUAUAUAUAUAUAUAUAUAUAUAUAUAUAUAUACUCAAAUGUGUGACAGGAUGGUAUGGAGAUGCGGCGGAACUUAUUUGUGGAUUUACUAGCACACGAAAGAAAUGGAUAUCGAAGAUUUUUUUCUGCCGAUAUUAAACAUUAUCUUGGUCGUAUCACGGAAAAGUCUAUAAAGUAGAAUUUGUGAGGCGAAUAAGGUGAAACCUGAGCCGAUCCGCGUCGCGCUUGCGCGUCGGCGGUCAAGGUCAAUUCCUUGGACCUUGGGGGCGCCGGGCGCGGGCGGGGCCUGUCUUCCCUCUUCCCUGAAGUGCCAAUGGUGUAUGCUGACUGCUGAGUAUGAGAUGAGAUCUGCCACCAGCACAUGGCCCCAUGCCUGCUUCCUGUUCCUCCUGAGGAAGAGAAGAGCUCAACCACUGGUGCUGAGCACGCAGCCGCCACCGCCCACCCACAGCCUCCAGCUUUAGCUUACCUUUUGCUUUGCACGCGGUGAAGGCAUCCCAUCCCAUCCCAUCUCCACUGCCUGCCGGCCAAGAAAGAGAGAAAAGGGUCCAAGCCAAGAAGAUUAGUCUCCUCUCUGCACAACCACGAAUCCUCCGAUCCUCCCAAGACUCAGCUCAAGCUAGUCAACCAAUAUCAGCAGCAUCAGCACGGGUAUCAGGGAAAGAAGACGAAGAAGGGGAUCCGAAUCCGAUCCUAUCGAUUGAGGAGCGCCGGAGCUCGGAGCGAUUCAUGUCAAGAUGCUGCAGCGGGUGGCGAGCAACGCCUACUCGUGGUGGUGGGCGAGCCACAUCAGGACCACCCAGUCCAAGUGGCUCGACGCAAACCUGCAGGGUCAGUUCGGUUCCAAUUCUAAUUCCCACAUGUUCUUCAUUUAUCUCCUGCUCUGAAUUAUUGUUGUCCUGUCCUCAAGACCUCAACUCUCUGAUGACCGACCUUGUGUCGUGUGCAGAUAUGGAGAAUCGAGUCAAGAUCAUGCUUAAACUCCUCGGACAGGAGGCCGAUUCCUUUGGCAAGAGGGCCGAGAUGUAUUACCACACCAGACCAGUGGUGAUAAGCCAUGUGGAGGAACUCUACAGGGCUUACAGAGCUCUCGUCGAACGCUAUGACCACAUAUCCAAGGAGCUCCACAAGGCCAACCACACCAUUGCUACUGCUUGUCCAGAAGAGGUGCAAUAUGCAAUGUUAGAAGAGGAGGAUCAGGAUUUCCCCAAAGCAAUCACACCAAUCAACUUGCACAAGUCCACGGGCCAAGAGAUUCUCAAUGCAAAGAGACAAGGUCCGUCAGGGAGGAACAAGCUACCCUCCGAUCCAGACAUAAGCACUGAGGAGGCACGAGAAGAGAUCGACAGACUUCAGAAGUCUAUACUUGUUCUGCAAACUGAGAAAGAGUAUGUUAAGAGUUCUUACGAGAGUGGUAUUGCUCGGUACUGGGAGAUCGAGAAGCAGAUUGCAGAUACACAAAAGGAAAUCUGUGUUAUUCAGGACAAAUUUGAUGCACAUGCAGCCAUUGGUGACGAUGAAGCCCGUGUCUUGAUGACAGUAACAGCUCUUAGAUCUUGUCAGGGAACCAUUUCUGAGCUUAUACGUCAUUUUGAGGAGCUGAUCAGGCUUGCAGCUGUGGAGUUGGAAAAAACAAAGUCUCUCCGAGCACAGCUGCAUGCUAUGGAUGGCAAUACUGACACAUCUUCAAGAGAGGCAAGCAGCACAGGCACAUCGGUGAACGCAAGGUCUUACCCGGUUACCCAGACAAUACUUGAGUUGCAGCCCAUAUAUGAGAAACUUGAAAAGUUUUUUGCCAGUGGUUCUGAAUCCUUUGCAGAGGAGAUUGCAGAGAAUGUUGAUGAACUUGUUGAUAAAGUCAUCAACUUGGAGCUCAAGUUCCCAAAACAAACAGCACAAAUCAAUCAACUCAUACAAGAGAAUGAGAACCUAAAGAAUAAACUGGAUGAGUUACAAGAUGAGAUGGCACUUCGUGAUGACCAAAGUGACUUAAAUGAACAGAUUAAGAAAUUAGAGGAUGAGUUUAGCACAGUCCGAGUUCUUGAAAGAUCAAUAAUUGAGGAAGAAGCCUCUGUCAGCGUAGGCUUUUCUGAAGUUUUUAGCUGCAUAAUUAAUAUCUCAAAGGCACUUGAAUCUGUUGGUCCUAAAGACCUGCAUAAUUUGUCAACUGUGGUAGGGGAUGGUGCAACGGUUUUAAAAGAUGUGGUUCUGGAGCACUCUACAGAAGAGAGCAAGGGUGGGGAUUUCAGAGACAUAGAUGCACCAACUCUAAGUCAUAGUUUGGGCCAAGAUAGAGAAGAUGUCUCGGAAGUGGUUAAUGAUAAUGGUAACGAUGGCAUCCAUGGCUCAAGGAAUGCUAAUGAGGAAAAAAUCCCUGGGAGUUGCUUAAUGCAGCAAGUUAGAUACAAAUCGUCUACACAUUCUGAGAACCAUAUUAAUCAGGUUGUCAGUUCAGAAAAUGAAAACAGAGUUCAUGAUUCAGGUGAGGGCAAUGUUGAUAGCUCACCAGGAGAAGUAUUCCAGAGUUCAUCAGAAAAUGAGAAUGGAAGUAGAAACUUCGCUAAAGGCGAAAUUGUGAGAGGCGAAUAUCCAUUGGGAAUUGUCAGACAGACUCAUCUCCUCCACUCAGAUAGUAUGGAUACUUCUGACAAGAAAUAUGGCUCUAAUGAAGCUUCUCAGUCACUAAUGGAAGUUGCUGAGGGAAAUAUUGGUGAUGGAAGUUCUUUUACCAGCAAUAGUGUAAUCCAGGAGGAAGGACUUGGAGAUAGUAAAUCACAAAAUACCAGUGGGCAUAUUAGUCCAAUUGCUUCCUCAGAGUUGUACAGUUUAAAGGAAAAAGAUUCCCUAGAAGAAUCCUCAUUGCUAGAAGCUACGUGUUUCAGUGGUGCCGAUAAGAGCCUACACUUGGGGCAUGCAAAUGAAGCACAAUCUGUUGAAGAAUUGCCAGACCAAGGUGGUCAACUAAAUGGGUCAGAAAAUAUUGAAAGUUUGAACGAAUGCAGCCAAGUUGGAUUGCCUAAAGAGGAUGAUUGUAUUUCAUUAGGUCAUGUUGAUAAUAUCCAAGAUAUGAAGAACAGGUAUUCCUCAGAAGUGAGGGAUGAAACUUCUCUCUGUGUGCCAGCUGGAGAUUCUGAGCAAGUUCUGACAAACUUAGAUAAGAAGAGUUCACAUGGCAAAGAGCUUGCAAGCGAUGCAACUACCUCGAACAACCAUGAAGGAAGGAGUCAGGGUGAAAAUUCUGGUUUGAUGGGAGAGGAAUUUGUACCUAGUUGGCAAGAAUUUCUUCUUGAUGGGCUUGAAGGUAGAGAAGCAAUCCUACUAGCUGACUAUACUUCAGUUCUGCGGAACUACAAAGAAACAAAGAGAAGGCUUACCGAACUGGAAAAGAAAAACCAGGAGCAUCUUGAAGAGACAAAAGCAGUUAUACGGGAGUUAAGGAAUGCAAAUUCCAUGAAGUAUGUUGAGAUUCGGUCACUAAGAGAUCUCCUGGAUUCCUCGGAGAUGCCUCCCAGUAAAGUGGGUAGUAACUCAAACGGUUUCUUAAGUGUGAGAUCUUUUAGAGAAGCUGACAGAUCAAAUGGCACUUUGGGUAGAGAUAUUUCAACUAUGGAGGAAAGCAGUUCUAGCAACAUUGAUGCACCUAACAACACGUCUCUUUUUGAAGCGAGGUUCAGAAAUGACAUUGACACUUUGGUGGAGGAAAAUUUGCAGUUCAUGGUAAGGUAUAGCAUGGCUUGCCAUCACAUGGAGGAGUUUGACAGAAGAUACGAGGCAGUACAGAAAGAAAAGGAGAACAUGGACGAUAAUAAGACUGGAGAACCUGAAACUCGACCAGAGCCUGAACCAGCUGAAAAGAAGUUGAGAGAGCUCCGAACUGAACUGGAUGUAUGGUUUGAGCAGAACACACUUCUCGAUCAAGAAGUGCAGCUUAAGUCUGCAUCUCUUUGCAGACUGCAAGAGGAGAUAGCCAAAGCCCUGCGUGGUAGCUUGGAGAUGGACAGAGCCAAGUUGUUUACACCAUAUGAAGCUGCCAAGUUUCAAGGGGAGGUCCUAAACAUGCAGCAAUCUACCAGCAGGAUUGAGAACGAGCUGCAGGCAGCGUCAGAACGAAUGAGGGGGCUUCAAGCCAAGGUUAACCACGCCCUAGAGAAGCUACGUGAGAGUUUUGAGUUUUCAUCCCAACACUUGUCGCAGCCAGAGACUGAAAGUAGUUAUGGGAAACAGUUCAAGCAUUUUCCAAGUAGGACAAGGGUACCGUUGCGGAACUUCCUGUUUGGAACAAAGCGAAAGAAGAAAUCAAUAUUUACAUGCAUCAAUCCCACACUCCAGAAACAGUUCAGCGAUUUGUGAGGUGUGUGUGAGUGUGCUCUUUUUGCAUCUCGUUCCAGAAGUGUAUUCAUUUCAGUAGCUAACAUGAUUCUAUUGUUUGCACUUGUAGUGAAAAAAGAUGUCGAAGGAUGCAUGUGGUAGCAGCUAGAAUUUGGCUAAUCUCCAAUCAACAGUUGGGUGGGAUAACAUGACCAUAGUUUUCCUUGUUUUGAAAAGCUCACCACUGUUCAUUGGGCAAAAAUGAACAAUAUUCGUAUAUAUCACCGUUGAUCUCCUUGUACCUGGGGGUAGUUUUGUUUCCCAGGGUACAAUUAAGAGCAGGUUUUGUUUGACUUUAGCUUGUAUUUGUUUGGAAUGGUAAUUUGUUGAUUUCAUUUGAUUGAGAAUUUCAGAGAAAUAAACAAGGCAAAUUAUUUGGAGAAUACUAGACGAGUACAGUGUGAAUCACAUUAUAGCAGACACACAUCUUAUUCAGUUGAGACUUAUUCCAACUCAUACAACAUGAAACGCCUGACAAGAAGAUGUCCUCCCCUGGGGAUGAUCAAAUCAGGCUACUGGGCUUUGUAUCUGCAAAUACAAAUUAAGAUGAGUCAGUCCCGAUCUGUUACUACUUAAUACUGUACUAUAUAAAUAAAAGAGCACCAAUAUUACCCCGAACUUGUUCAUCAAGGCAGCAAGCUGCAGACGGCGAUCCCCCCAGGUCACUGCGUAGGCAUCUAUCUUGUUCAGCUCCUGCAGUUAUGUUAUUGCACACGAUGUAAUGUAAUGUAAUGUAAUGUGCGGAGUUAACAGAAGAAAUUAUAAAUGAUGGUUGAAUUUGAUUGGUGCAUGCAGUGGCAGUGACACACCUCUAUCCACUCCUUGAGUUUAGGCCUUGCUUGUGUUAUAUCGUAGUGCUUCACUGCAGCGAAGAAAUCCUUGAAGCGUUCGACAAAGGGCGCAUAAACCAUGUCGACCUGCAUAUAUGCAAUUCGAUUAUUGUCUUCAAAACUAAUUAAAAAACGAUUAACUAAUAAGUCAUUGAUGAGUUUACUGACUGCGCUCAUGGACUGCCCCAGGAGGAAUGGCCCAUCAGAGAAACGUCCUAGGGACUCCUCCACCUUGUCAAGAGCAGGAGCAAGUAUCUUACUAAUAUCAUCAUCUCCUUGUCCUUGGGCAUAGGCACGGCCUGCCUUGAAGAAGGCUGUGAUGACGGAAUCGCUGUUGGCAAUCAACUCAUCAGCAAAAGCUUGCUUGGCAGGGUCCUGAUCACCAGGAAACAGCUUAGGGCCCUCAAAGUUGGCGUCCAGGUAGCUGAGUAGAUCCAAGGACUCUGCUAUGAUGUUGCCAUUGUGCUCUAGGACGGGGAUCUGCAUUGCGUCACAGCAUAUUGAUUUGAUUAGUAAUUUUUGAUUGAUGAAAAAGAAAAGAAAAACAAUUGUCAUGUGUUCCUCAAAGGAAAUGGUUGUUGACCUUGCCCGGCGGGUAAACUUUCUCGAGGAACCUUCAAUUCAUCAUCAUAUUCAGAUGGAUUAAGUGAAAGACAGGUUAGUCGGUUGGAUUGAGUUUGGAACUGAUAUGAUAUUAUAUAUAUGAACAUAUAUAAAGCCGGUAGUACUCCGUAUGUAAGAUUUGAUAGAGUAGCAUGCAAUGUAAUACUGUACGAUCCUAGUCCUAACUAUACUGAUCGAGUAAUGCAAGCUGCUAAUAGUUAUAUUACCAAGCAGGCUUGUCUUGCAAAUCUAUGGCAACCAGCUGAAUCUUGUCUUGUAACCCCUGCCCAACAACAAACCAAGCUUAUAGCGAAGGAAAUCCUUGGGAGAUGGACGAAAGGUACAGUACGGUGAUCAAGCACAAAUUGGCGUGGCGCCUAGUCGCCUAGCUACCUACCUUGAAGUUCCUAGCUAUCCAAACUCUCUGCACAUAUGGGCAUAUGUAGGAGAUGUAGAGCCUUGUUGUGCCAUCGAAGAGGUUUGGUGGUUGAGAACCGGAACCCAGGGUUGGGGGCAGCACCUCCUCAGAAGCUUUCGUCGUCUCUCUGCAUGCAUAACAUGCAGAUACUACUAGAUCAGAAUCAGAUCCGGCGGCCGUCAGCAGGAAGCAGAGCCAUCUCCCUCCUCUCUCUCACAUACCUGACGGUGGAGUCAUCGGGUGCCGCCGCCGUCGCCAUACCCCUUAGCAGCUCAGCUGAGGUACCUCUCCCUUCCUGCUUUGCUUUCAGUGGAACAAGAUAGCUAUGAGAUGUAGUAGUAGUUACAGGAAGGAAGAGGAAGGCAAGGCGAUCGACCAGAUAUGAGAUCAGGAUCAGCACAUGUGGAUGUGGCACCGUACGAUACCACGGAAUAUUGUAUUCUUUAUUUGUAAUAGUAAUUGUCCGAGUAAGCAAUCAACCCAUGCACGCUAUAACGCACGCGUUUCAUGCUGAGGCCACUCACGGUCACACUCAAACGCAAAUCAUGUCAUUUCUUAUUUUCUUGACACCACCAACCGUCCCUGGACCACUCGACACGGCUACUCUGGGUCCAAUCCUUAGGUUCACGCGUUGCUGCGGUAAUUUGUAACUCUAGUUUCGUGAAUUGAAAAAUAGUAAAUUUACACUACAUAUAUAUACAUCCUUUUUAGAAAAAUCUUGGAAACAAAGUAAAUUUAUGAUAAAAAAAUACGUUGAGAAAAUAAUAUAGAUUUUUUAAAAAAUAUAUAUACUUUGGAUUGUAUUGUCAAGUGAGGCUAGAAGUAGAGUUAGACUAUGGUCUUGUUUAGUUCAAAAAAAUUUCAAGAUUCUUCGUGACAUCGAAUCUUGCGGCACAUGCAUGGAGUAUUAAAUUUAGACGAAAACAAAAACUAAUUACACAGUUUGCCUGUAAAUUGCGAGAUGAAUCUUUUGACCCUAAUUAGUCUAUGAUUAAACAAUAUUUGGCACAAACAAACGAAAGUACUACAGUACCCAAAAUCCAAAAUUUUUACCAAGGCCUUGUUUAGUUCCGGAAAGUGAAAAGUUUUCGGUACUGUAGCACUUUCGUUUGUUUGUGACAAAUAUUAUCCAAUCAUAGACUAACUAGGAUCAAAAGAUUCGUCUCGUGAUUUACAGUUAAACUGUGUAAUUAGUUUUUGUUUUCGUCUAUAUUUAAUGUUUCAUGCAUGUGCCACAAGAUUCGAUGUGAUGAAGAAUCUUAAAAACUUUUUGGUUUUCAGGGUGAACUAAACAAGGCCCAACUAAACAAGGCCUAUGUGAUCCAGUCUUCUCGUAAAUACAAGAGCAAUGUUGUAUUCUUAUCAGGACGAUGUAGCCACGUGCUCACAAGAGGGCGCUGAUAUGUUACCGAGACUCUAGAGCGGCCAAAUGUUGUUAGAAGAGCGUUUGUGGUCAUAUCCUAAGGAUAUAGGCUUAGGAUAAAUCUUAUUAAUAAAUAUCGUGCUUCUAGCGUCGUCUUUAAACUUAUAUAUUCGUCUUGAUAGAUCUAAUAAACACUUUGGCACGUGGCGAGGUUAGCAAAUAUGUUACCAUUGUGGGAGCUAAUUUCUAACAUAUAUAUCCUUGUCAAUCAUUGUUCCGGUCUUAAAUCUUGAUGGAUAAAAUUCAGCAGUGGUCCUCAAAUUUGUCUUGAGGUAUCAUUUAGGUCUCUAAAAUCAUAAAAUAUAUUUUCUUUUGCUCCUAAAGUUGUAAUGGGUCUCUUCUAGGUUUAAAUGGGCAUUCACCCGACCUGCUAUCCCACGUGGAACGAAUCUGUAUAUAAGAUGCAUAAGCAGCAACAAGCCUCCACCAAAGGAAAAAUUGUAUAUUUUCAAUCCAACCUCAGAUAAAGAUGAUUUCUAUAUAAAAAUUAAGCCCUCAAUGAGAGCCAUGACUUUAUAGUUUUGAGUUUUUUCAUUUAAAAUUCUAAAAAUAAUAUAAAUUUUCCACAUAAUAUUAUUCGCAUCCCAGAACUUGUUACCUUAGAAAAAAUUAUAUCUUUCUUGUAUGAUGUCUGAUAAAGAUAUUUAUAUGAAAGUUAUAGCACUCAACGAAAUCUACAGCUUCCUACUUGGAGAUUUUUUUAUUUGUAGUUCUCUAGAUUUUCUUUUAAAAAAGAUAAAACACGAUUAAUAUGUUGCUCAAAUUCUAUAUGAUUAUUUUGAGCACUUUAAUGACCUCAAAUGACAAAACUCAAAACUAUGAAUGUGUAGAUUUUAUCAGGGGCUAUAAGUUGUAUUAUACAAAGUAUCUUUAUCCAAUACCAUACAAGAAAAAUAUGAUUUUUCUAAGGCGAAGCCUUGGUCCCUGAUUAAUAUGCUACUAAAACUUUAUAUUACUUUUAAGCAUCUUAGCGACCUCAACUAACAAAACUCAAAACUAGGAAUUUGCAGAUCUCAUAAAAAACUAUAAUUUUUAUAUAUAAAGCAUUUUUAUCUAACAACAAACAAGGAAGAUAAGAUUUUUGUAAGGCGAUAAUUCCUGAUAUGCAAUUAAUAUACUACUGAAAUUUUAUUAUUUUUGAACAUCUUAACGACCUUAAGUAUAAAAAAGCAAAACUAGUAGUUUAUAGAUCUUAUCGAAAGCUACAAUUUUCAUAUACAUAUUAUCUUUAUCCAAUACCAUAUAAGAAUGAUAUGAUUUUUCUAAGGUGACAAGCCCUUGUAUGCAAUUCAUAUGCUAGAACUUUAUAUUAUUUUUUAACAUAUUAAAGAUCUAAAAUUAAAAAAAAUCAAAACUAUAAAUUUAUAGAUCCCAUCGAGAGUCACAAUUUCCAUAUAAAAAUAAUUUUCAUCUGAGAUCGUAUGAAAAAUAAUACAAUGUUUGAAAAUCAAGGCUAAAAUUAUUGUUGGCUGAUUUAUUGUGAGAGAAAAACACUGUUGACUGGCAGAAAAAGUACGGUUGAAAAGAAAAGAGAACAGACAUGUUUAGACCUAUAUAACGUUCUGUUUGGUUGCUCUCAGUAAAGUUUACCGUCUGGCACAUUAAAUGUUUAGACCUAUAUAACGUCCUCCUUGAGGAAGAGCUCCUUCAAGCUUGGGUAGCAGCGAGAAGACGUAGCUCACGGUGAGGCGAACUAUCGUACUGCAGCGAUACUUGGAGCUCAUCGGCGAUACGCUGUGAGGCGAAUUGCAGGGCGACCUCCAAGUUUGUCGGGUGCGUCGAUGGUGCCACUCCUGCGUCUGGCGACCACUAGAGAUGGAGGCGAAUUAGUGCCCACGCUCAAGACCACCAGAUCCAGAGCAAGAGAUGCAUGCCAUGAUGCCAAGGGAGGAGAGACCGCACGCCGACAUGGAAAGGGGGAAGGAGCUCGUGUCGGCCAGGGAGGGGAUGGGAAGGGGAAGAAGCUUGCGCCGCUAUUGGGAGGGGAAGGAGCUCGCACAAGACGGGGAGGGGAUGGAGAGGGGAAGGAGCUUGAUCCGCCAUGGGAAGGGGAGGGAGCAGGGAAAGGAGGACGCGGUGCGUAUGGAGGAGCGGGCACGAGCGAGGAGGAGCGGUGGCGCACCAUACCACAGGAGGUGACGCCAACAAGAUGAGCGGCUAGCUCGGGUCUAGCUCCAAAAGAAACACCAACUCAGUGUUUCUACUUGGAUCUGACUCUAUCUAUACGGCAGGUCAGAUAGGGCCUGGCUUCAGGGGUUGGACAGGCAACCAAGCAGCACAAACCUAACCCAUCCAAGCAAAAAGCCAGGUUUGAAGACCAAUUAAACACAUUCUCAUAUAUAGAAUUGCAAAUGGUAAGCACAAGAAAUUGGAGGAACUUGAGGAGCAUCCAGAAGGUACGUAAACCGGCACAGCUGGAUAUAUAAAACGAUUCCGGUUUACCCUUAUCAUGCAUCGAAAGAAAACGACGGAUCGGCAUUCCACUCCAUAUAUUCGCAUUCGAUGCCUCCGAUCGGCCCCUUUUUUUAUCGUCGUCCGUCCAUUUUUCUUUCCUUGUUUUUUUUAAACAAUAAGAGAUGCUGUCCAUUUUCCUUUCUGCGUUUCGUUUUUGAUUUUUCUGCUUAGACGCGACGCAGUAGAUCGAAUUGCUAAGAUUCUCCAGCCUACCUCGGGACACCGCUGCUUCCGACGAUCUAUCCUCGUCUUGCCAGGAUUUAUACUCCCUCUGUCACAAAAAUACAAUUCUAGGUAGAUUUACUAUAAAAUGCAUUUCAUAUCAGUGAUACUGAAUCAUAAAAAAUUGUCUUCUUUUGUAUAGAUUUGAUCAAACUUGAAAUUGUUUUGGCUCCUAGAAAAAUGAGAAUUACAUUCUUUUUUGGAGAAAUGUUGUACAAUAUAAUAAUAUAUAGCUGCAUGAUUCUUCUUCCCAAAACAACUAGAAACGGAAUCGCCUUUCCAUCAGCUAGUGUCGCAUGGCAUCGUCCUUCCUGCGCUGCCCAUGCACGCCACACCGAUGCGAUGCUGCGCAUACUUGCGCAGACGGCGUGAUGCUACCGCCACAUCCACAUGCACCACCACUGGGUCCGCCGGGAGAAUCCGGCGGCAGUGGCGGCGCAGUGCCCUAUAAAUCCGCCGGCCCGGCCGUCGCCCUAGCUGCAUUGUCUGUGUCGGAGAGACUCAUCACCAGAGAGGAGAUCGAGGAGGUGACGUGAGGUGAGGUUUGCAGCUUGCAAGUCGGUCGGCGUCAUGGCAUACAACGGCCGUGACCAGCGGUACGGCGGCGGCAUCGCUACGCCGGGGUACGCACCGCCGGUGCCGUACGGGAUGUCGCAGGUGAACAUCGAGGGCAACGGGUGCGGUCGGCCGCUGCCGCCGCAGCCGACCGUGAAGGUGUACUGCCGCGCCAACCCCAACUACGCCAUGACCAUCCGCGACGGCAGGGUGGUGCUGGCGCCGGCGAACCCCAAGGACGAGUACCAGCACUGGAUCAAGGACAUGAGGUGGAGCACGAGCAUCAAGGACGAGGAAGGUUACCCGGCGUUCGCGCUGGUGAACAAGGCGACCGGGGAGGCCAUCAAGCACUCGCUGGGGCAGUCCCACCCGGUGCGCCUGGUGCCCUACAACCCGGACUUCCUGGACGAGUCCGUGCUCUGGACCGAGAGCCGCGACGUCGGCAACGGAUU
rnacentral:lncRNA from 1 species